GCCGGGUGUGGUGGCUCACGCCUGUAAUCCCAGCACUUUCGGAGGCCAAGGCGGGUGGAUCACCUGAGGCCAGGAGUUUGAGACCAGCCUGGCCAACAUGGUGAAACCCUGCCUUUA
rfam:Nomascus leucogenys chromosome 8, whole genome shotgun sequence.